rnacentral:rRNA from 1 species
UUCGGAUUGCAGUCUGCAACUCGACUGCAUGAAGCCGGAAUCGCUAGUAAUCGCGGAUCAGAAUGCCGCGGUGAAUACGUUCCCGGGUCUUGUACACACCGCCCGUCACACCAUGGGAGUCGGAAAUGCCCGAAGCCGGUGGCCUAACCGAUAAGGGAGGAGCCGUCGAAGGCAGGUCUGAUGACUGGGGUGAAGUCGUAACAAGGUAUC